rnacentral:rRNA from 1 species
UACGGGGGGAGAAGCGUUGUUCGGAUUUACUGGGCGUAAAGGGCGCGUAGGCGGCCACCGCAAGUCGGUUGUGAAAUCUCUGGGCUUAACCCAGAAAGGUCAACCGAUACUGCGGAGCUAGAGUACGGAAGAGGCGAGUGGAAUUCCUGGUGUAGCGGUGGAAUGCGCAGAUAUCAGGAGGAACACCAAUAGCGAAGGCAGCUCGCUGGGACGUUACUGACACUAAGGCGCGAAAGCGUGGGGAGCGAACAGG